ACUGUAUCAACAGUACCAGAGAGGCAUCCAGAGAAAUGAGCGCAGCACUGUACCCGCUGCCAUGCCAGCCAGCAAACUCAGUGCUAUCUGCUCUCCAAUCCAGUCAUCAUAGCGCUCCCUGUGCACCCAGACAUGCUUCCAAGCCCUAACGAGACAAAAAAACACAUCAUAAAAACAACACGUGAGUUUGAAGAGACAAUCGGGAAGAGUCAGAGUGGAGAUGUAGACAAGAGCACUCACAGAGCCUCAUCCUCACUGUUAGCACACAGGAGCACAGUGGAGCCAUCCUUCAGAUCACACCAGUUCAGCUUCCAGCGCCUGAGGAUGGAUGCUGUGAGGCAGAUUUACACUUCAGUGGCUUCUCUAAUGACUCAGAACAUUAAUGUCAGUUAAACAGUAACAUUCAGCAAAUGCUUAGAGGGUGAUGCUGAUAAUGGAUGCAGUUUCUAUGGCAGAGAAUCAAUAAAAGAUGCUCUUCUCGACUCUUAAUGAAGAGAGGAAUCGUGGAAAUAGUAGGAUUAAAGAUUCACGUCGUGUGUGUUCCAAAAUCUCUGCCUAUUAAUUAAGGAAUCAGACACUUCACGGUGUGUCGUAGGAAAAUAAUCAACAGUGAGGUGGUAUGAUGAAACCUAAUGCAAAGCCGUGUUACUCUCACCACCACGAAGCUGAUUACUGCCUAAUAACAAAAUCUCAUGUCCUGGUUUAUUUGUGUUACAUCACAACAAUUUGCCAAUAAUUACAAAUAAAGCAGACCAUUUCUACAUCUAUUUUAUUGUUACUUACAUCAUACUAAGUGAAAGUAAUCAAUAAAUGCAGCUUGUCCUGUCAAUCUGAGGUGAAAAACAUUCCAAAAAUGUUAAAUAAAAGUCUUAUAAUAAAAGGUUGUUACACAACU